CAACUGGAGCAGGAAAGCGAUGAACAGAGGCAGACGCAGCAAGAAUGCUGGGAGCUGGCGGAGAAGAUGAUCCGGGCUGCGGGGGCACUGCAGAGCUGGUGACGUCACCUCAGGAUCCAAGACGUGCUUCCUAGGGGCCCCCUGGUGGUCUCCAGGAUGAGGGGGUCACCAGGAAACUUGGUACAAAAGGUAGGAGACAACUUCCAGCUGAGACCUUGUCAGGAGGAAAACGCAGGCAUCGCUUCUCAGAGACCCCCCUAGAGCUCAGCAGAGUAAAAUCGUCCAUUAGAGU
rnacentral:lncRNA from 1 species